rnacentral:rRNA from 1 species
CAGUAGCCACGGUAAUACGAAGGGUGCAAGCGUUACUCGGAAUUACUGGGCGUAAAGCGCGCGUAGGUGGUGGUUUAAGUCCGUUGUGAAAGCCCUGGGCUCAACCUGGGAAUUGCAGUGGAUACUGGGUCACUAGAGUGUGGUAGAGGAUAGUGGAAUUUCCGGUGUAGCAGUGAAAUGCGUAGAGAUCUGAAGGAACAUCUGUGGCGAAGGCGACUAUCUGGGCCAACACUGACACUGAGGCACGAAAGCGUGGGGAGCAAACAGGAUUAGAUACCCGAGUAGUCCCUGUCUCUUAUAC